UACUUGUUGCUUCACCUUGCACUUUUAUGUUCUGGAGAUGCCUUCUUUCCUUAAACCUCACGAACAAACCUCUGCUAGCAUUACAUUUUUAUUCCACAACUUCCUCCCUUCUCUCAGCCUUCAUAGAAUUCAAGAGAGUUAGGGUCUUGCUCUGGAUUAGGCUUUGGCUUAAGGGAAUGUAGAGAUUGGUUUGAUCUAUCCAAUUUUCCUCUUUUGGCAGUUUUCAGUUUAUCAGCAACUCAAAUGUAACCCAGAUUCACCCAUUUUCUUUCAAAGACUUUUCUUUUCACAGAUGUCUAACCCAUCAACCCAAGAAGGUAAAUGCAGAUUUAUUCAGAGUUAGGAAAAAUGAUAAUAAGCUGAUGAUUAGAAACAAUUAUUUAUUUUAAAAGUUCAAAUAAUAUAUAAAUUAUUUUUGAAAUCCUUGAAGAAGAAUUUUUUGACUCUCCAAAUAAAAUUGGUAACACGAUGACUAAUGUAAGUCAGAAGGGAGGUAAGAAAAUAAAUAUAAUUUAUUAAAAUGCUGUCACAACUCUCUAGAUUAAAUACUUUAAAAUGCUGUAUCCUAUAUAACUUGAUUGAGGAAACAUGCAAUUAAAAAAAAUUUAUAGCUAAAAUCAGGCAUUCAGGAUGUUUAUGUGUCUCCUUUGGUAAAAUUAAAGUGCAUAAAUAUAUGCACACACAUAGUCUAUGUGUAAACUCCUUUUAAACCAUAAGAAUGUAUGUUUACUUAUGUUUUUCAUUGUUAAAGUUAACAGAAUGAAUACAUAUCCAAUCAGUAACAACGACUAAGUGUCUAUCUUGCAGAAAGAAACAUAGAUCUAAGUGAGAGAGUCAACUUACAGAGAUUAUAUAUCAAAAAUAAUGAAAACCAUUAGGCAUAUUUGUAGCAAGAAACUGCAUUCAGCUUAUUCAUAACCUGCUGGCAUGUUAGGAUAUGUCUAGUUUAAAUAUUUGAAGAGUUUAACGUGGUAUCAUUAUCCUGCUGGACAGCUGCAUUUACAUAUUUGUUUACAAAAAAAUGACAUCAACAUUAAAGCAGCAUUUAAAAAAUCAUUCAUCAUGCCCUGAAUGGCCAUAGGAUUUGUGGAAAGGAUAUGAAAUGGAAG
rnacentral:lncRNA from 10 species